rnacentral:tRNA from 1 species
ACUUAUAUAGUAUAGAAGUAUGUGUGACUUCCAAUCACAAGGCCUAAACAAAGUUUAGUAUAAGUA